rnacentral:lncRNA from 1 species
GCCGGUGGGAGCACGCCGCCCGAGGUGGGCAAUAGUACAAUACUUGAGGCGGUAGUGGCCUCACUUGCUUGGUGCGCGCGUUGCAGGCUUAGCCUGCAGGUGCUAGGCUACCUUGUCCUGCGCAGGGCCUAGGCGCAUUGGCUAAUCCACGUAGGCUUGCUAUGCGGACGACGUGCGCACAGUGUGCGACGCCUGUCUGUCUGCGCACGGACAGGUCCUGCCUAUGUGCAACAAGACUCACGCACAGGCUUGUCUUCCACACCUGCGAGAUGGGACGUGCAGACUGUAAGCAUGUCCUCUGUCUGUCGUGCGCUCGUAUUGCGCACUGGCACCCGCGUGGGCAACCCAUUCCCGUGGGAUUUUUCUCGCAUGAUUUUUCUUCCUAUUUUCAGUUUUUCUUAAAAAGUGUUUAUUUUUU